AGAGUUUGAUCAUGGCUCAGAAUCAACGCUGGCGGCGUGCCUAACACAUGCAAGUCGAACGCGGUUUCCCCGCAAGGGGAGACUGAGUGGCGAACGGGUGAGUAACACGUGGGUGACCUACCUUCGAGUGGGGGAUAACGUCCCGAAAGGGACGCUAAUACCGCAUAACAUCCUGUCCUUGAACGGAUGGAGAUCAAAGCCGGGGAUCGUAAGACCUGGCGCUUGAUGAGGGGCCCGCGUCCGAUUAGCUAGUUGGUGAGGUAAUGGCUCACCAAGGCAACGAUCGGUAGCCGGCCUGAGAGGGCGGACGGCCACACUGGGACUGAGACACGGCCCAGACUCCUACGGGAGGCAGCAGUGGGGAAUUGUUCGCAAUGGGCGCAAGCCUGACGACGCAACGCCGCGUGGAGGAUGAAGGUCUUCGGAUUGUAAACUCCUGUUGCCUGGGACGAAUGGCUCCAACCUAAUACGUUGGAGUGUGACGGUACCAGGUGAGGAAGCCCCGGCUAACUCUGUGCCAGCAGCCGCGGUA
rnacentral:rRNA from 1 species